ACUGGUUCCCGGCAGUUUCGUGAGCUAGGGCAGACCCUGGAUCCCAUUCACGUCUUGGCAGCCAGUGAGCCCAGUGGAGUGAUCCUGACUGGGAACACAGAGGUACCACAUUCGCUUGGAUUUCCACUCCCUUUGCACAGCUGCGUAUAAGAAGCAUGCGUGAGCUCACUUCUGGGCCCAGGGAGUUGCUUUUCUGGCCCUGCUCCACCCCCUUCCUUUCUCUGGUGAAGGGAGCUCCCUGUGUUUCCAUGAUUACCUCGCUGUUGACCCUGCUUUGGCCUGGAAUGCUUGUGUCCAUUUUCCAAGGCCAAGCUGCCCCUCCCCCUCGGAGACAGCUUCUGGCCCUGGGUGUAGCAUUUGUGACAUCACAGGCGUUACUAUGGCAACAGACUUGUUAUAAACACAGGAUAAUAGCCCUGCUCUUGCUUUUCUUUAUUCCCCCAUGCCGUGAAGGGAAUCACCGUGAUCCUUAAAUAAUAAUCACAGACUUUUGCUGCAGAGUCUAGGAAGUGAACCGAGAAAGGCUGCAGUGCAGCCGUUCAGAAUGCUGUUAAGCGAUAUUAGAAAAUAUUAAGAAGAGCCAGCCGGUUCUUCUUAUACUGACACAUCUUUAUCCUUUUAAUUUGAGCAAAUUCACAAACCUCUGAGGCUAAUUUUUGAAAUCACACUAUGAACACAGUCUAAACUGUCAAUACAUAUACACAUACAUAUACAUCAUAUACAUAUACAUCACAUACAUAUACACACACACACAUAUACAUAUGCAUAUACAUAUACAUAUACAUAUACAUAUACAUAUACAUAUACAUAUACAUGAUGUAUAUAUUAGCAAGACGUUUGAAGUAUUACUCAGGUUAAUUGCAUUAUCACCUUGGUGCAGCUCUCAUACUAGAAACUUUAGCACAGGCUCAAUCCUUUGAGAUUUCAUUCAGAGAGAAUUACGUUCCGGAAAGGCUCUGGUAAUCAAGCAGGAAGACUAUACAGCAUUUCCCCACUGCAUCUCCCUCCCCCACCCUCACCCCAUUUGAGAAUGGAAGCAAGGCACUGGGGAUGGAUUUUUUAAUAAAAACUGCUUGCUAAGUAAGACCUUAUAACCCCCCUCAAUUACACACACACACACACACACACACACACACAUACACGUCCAAGCCGCUGGCUAGACAUUAGUCUUUUGGAAUUGCUGAGCAGGCUUAGGUCUGUCGGUUGGCCUUAUUCAGAGGUAGGUGGUUCAGUUGGGACCACAUCUGGGCCCCUUUUUGUCUGGACCUUGCUUCAUGAUAAUAUUUUACUCAC
rnacentral:lncRNA from 1 species